AGCAGCCGCGGUAAUUCCAGCUCCAAUAGCGUAUAUUAAAGUUGUUGCAGUUAAAAAGCUCGUAGUUGAAUUUCGGGGUUAGUAGGUUGGUCAUGCCUCUGGUAUGUACUGGUCUCACUGAUUCCUCCUUCCUGAUGAGCCGUAAUGCCAUUAAUUUGGUGUUGCGGGGAAUUUGGACUGUUACUUUGAAAAAUUAGAGUGUUUAAAGCAGGCUCACGCUUGAAUACAUUAGCAUGGAAUAAUGAAAUAGGACGUUUGAUUCUAUUUUGUUGGUUUCUAGGAUCGACGUAAUGAUUAAUAGGGAUAGUUGGGGGCAUUAGUAUUCAAUUGUCAGAGGUGAAACUCUUGGAUUUAUUGAAGACUAACUACUGCGAAAGCAUUUGCCAAGAAUGUUUUCAUUAAUCAAGAACGAAAGUUAGGGGAUCGAAGACGAUCAGAUACCGUCGUAGUCUUAACCAUAAACUAUGCCGACUAGGGAUCGGAUGAUGUUAAUUUUUAAUGACUCAUUCGGCGCCUUAAC
rnacentral:rRNA from 1 species